GUGAAUCAUCGAAUCUUUGAACGCAAAUUGCACUCUCUGGCAUUCCGGAGAGUAUGCCUGUUUGAGGGUCAGCCUGAAAAAAAAUCGACAUAGUCGCUGUUUCGCGGUGACAUGCGUCGGAAAUUGGGUCAUCUUAAACCUUUUGGAUGUAAGCGGCUUAAAAUUUGCUUUACGAUUCCACGAACGUUUCUAAUAUUUACUUCUUAUA
rnacentral:misc_RNA from 1 species